UUUAAUAUGGCAGAUAAGUGCUAUGGAAUUAAGAUCCAUAAAAUUUAGUUAAUUUAAACUUUUAUUAAAA
rnacentral:tRNA from 2 species